ACGGGUGAGUAACGCGUGGGAAUCUACCGUGCCCUGCGGAAUAGCUCCGGGAAACUGGAAUUAAUACCGCAUACGCCCUACGGGGGAAAGAUUUAUCGGGGUAUGAUGAGCCCGCGUUGGAUUAGCUAGUUGGUGGGGUAAAGGCCUACCAAGGCGACGAUCCAUAGCGGGUCUGAGAGGAUGAUCAGCCACACUGGGACUGAGACACGGCCCAGACUCCUACGGGAGGCAGCAGUGGGGAAUAUUGGACAAUGGGCGCAAGCCUGAUCCAGCCAUGCCGCGUGAGUGAUGAAGGCCCUAGGGUUGUAAAGCUCUUUCACCGGUGAAGAUAAUGACGGUAACCGGAGAAGAAGCCCCGGCUAACUUCGUGCCAGCAGCCGCGGUAAUACGAAGGGGGCUAGCGUUGUUCGGAUUUACUGGGCGUAAAGCGCACGUAGGCGGACUAUUAAGUCAGGGGUGAAAUCCCGGGGCUCAACCCCGGAACUGCCUUUGAUACUGGUAGUCUUGAGUUUGAGAGAGGUGAGUGGAAUUCCGAGUGUAGAGGUGAAAUUCGUAGA
rnacentral:rRNA from 2 species